rnacentral:rRNA from 1 species
AUGGCCCAACAUCAAGGGGUUCCUAAAUUUGGGAACUGGGAGGACGAAGGCCAAGGCUACACGCAGUACUUCGAGAACGCCCGCAUGGGCAAAUCUCCGGGAAGGCCUGUCAACCAGAACGAUCGCAAUGAAGGCGCUGCACAAGCACCCUCUAACGACCCACCGUCGGUCAAGGCCUCUCCCUUGAGGCCGGGGUCCGAGCCGGGGCUGCGGAAGAACCGGGACGAAAGGCGUGCCACCCGAGAAGACCUCCGUCGGCACGAGGCCGCUGCCCGGAAAACGCAUGCCGAGUCGCCUAACCACAGAUAUGGUGACCAGACCAACUACGACGGUGCUGCGAGGAAAGCAAGCAAUGAGAGGUCACCCAUCCAUCCUCGGCAGCAGGCAAGGCUUGCAGACAAAGGUGGGGUUUCAUCUCCUAUUGCGGAUCGUAGGGGUUCUGCUCCCACCACACCUGGAAGGUCCAAGAUGAGGCCAACUGGGCGCGGCGAUGAAACGCCCGAGAGAGGGUCAGCUGUUCCAAAGUUUGGAGACUGGGAUGAGAAAGAUCCUUCGACUGGUGAAGGUUUCACUGACAUAUUUGAGAAGGUGAGGGAGGAGAAGCAGUCCGGCGCGGAUACUGUCGGUACCAGCCACGCAUAUAAGGACCGCUACAACCAAGGGGACAGAUAUGAAUCUUCGGGCUGCUCAUGCUUCAGCUGGUUCAAGAAGUGA